rnacentral:rRNA from 1 species
GACGAACGCUGGCGGCGUGCCUAAUACAUGCAAGUCGAACGCAGUGGGGACGGGUGAGUAACACGUGGGUAACCUCCCAUCAGAGGGGAUAACACUUGGAAACAGGUGCUAAACCGAUACUGAUGGAUGGACCCGCUGUGCAUUAGCUAGUUGUUGAGGUAACGGCUCACCAGGGGCACGUUUCAUAGCCUACCGGAGAGGGUGAUCGGCCACACUGGACCUGAGACGCGACCCAGACUCCUCCGGGAGGCAGCGGUAGGGAAUCUUCGGCAAUGGACGAAAGUCUGACCGAGCAACGCCGCGUGAGUGAAGAAGGUUUUCGGAUCGUAAAGCUCUGUUGUUAGAGAAGCGUUAUCUAACCAGAAAGCCACGGCUAACUACGUGCCAGCAGCCGCGGUAAUAC